rnacentral:rRNA from 1 species
GGCACUAGGUGUGCGACCCGAUCAACGGUUGCCGUGCCGAAGCUAACGCAUUUAAGUGCCCCGCCUGGGGAGUACGCCGCAAGGCUAAAACUCAAAGGAAUUGACGGGUCCCCGCACAAGCGGCGGAGCAUGCGGCUUAAUUCGAUGCAACCCGAAGAACCUUACCUGGGUUUGACAUUAUGGGAAAAGCCGUAGAGAUACGGUGUCCGCAAGGGCCCAUAACAGGUGGUGCAUGGCUGUCGUCAGCUCGUGUCGUGAGAUGUUGGGUUAAGUCCCGCAACGAGCGCAACCCUUGUCCUAUGUUGCCAGCGGAUUAUGCCGGGGACUCAUAGGAGACUGCCGGGGAUAACUCGGAGGAAGGUGGGGACGAGGUCAAGUCAUCAUGCCCCUUAUGCCCAGGGCUGCACGCAUGCUACAAUGGUCGGUACAACGGGCUGCGAUCCCGCGAGGGUGAGCGAAUCCCUAAAAGCCGACCUCAGUUCAGAUUGGAGUCUGCAACUCGACUCCAUGAAGCCGGAGUCGCUAGUAAUCGCGGAUCAGCUAAGCCGCGGUGAAUGCGUUCUCGGGGAUUGUACACACCGCCCGUCAAGUCACGAAAGCUGGCAACACCCGAAGUCAGUGGCCCAACCGCAAGGAGGGAGCUGCCUAAGGUGGGGUUGGUAAUUGGGACUAAGUCGUAACAAGGUAGC